UUCACCUACAUACUUAUCUAAGUAGCUUCCUAUAUACAUAUUGAACCCAUUUUAAUUAUUGCUAGCUGGAGUCUAAUAGGCUGAUUUAACAAUUCGAUGUACAUGAUGAAUAUUAAUUUGAGGCAAGUCCUGAAGACAACUAGUAAAAAACUGCGACACAGUGGUAGUAAUGUUAUAUCGUCGAUAACAACUAGACUGUCGCCGGUAUGAAGUGUGUUCAGAACGUCCGAUAUAAGGGCAUAAGGGCUAUUUUCUAGUUGCAGAAAGACAGCAGUGGGGUGCAAAGGCAGUUCGCCAGUUACAGCAGCGCGUCCGCUGAACGAUAACGAAGAGGUAGGUGAGAUCACGGAGACCGGGGUGAGAAGGCGAUGAAGCGUACUUCGUGAGCUGUAAUCGAAAAACAACUGGCAUUUUGAAAGUUUGAGUGACCCUGUUGAAAUGUAUUUUGAUUCUUCUGAUUUCACCGCGAUUGAGGAGUGAUAACAUGGGGAAGGAGGAGGAAGUUAUGGGUGCAUCCCAUAAAUGUGCUGAGAAGGGAGCAUGGGCAAUACUACCACCUUGUCCAGGAGCUGCUCUUGGACCCUGCCCACAUCACCGAUACUUCCGGAUGAGUGCAGAAGAGAUGGAGACUGUCUUUUGUUGGCCCAGACCUCACCAAGCAGACGAUCAACUACAGGACCCCAGUAGAGCCUAAGCAAAGACUAGCUGUCACUCUAAGGUAUUUGGCAUCUGGAGACUCUAUUUGCAGCCUGUUCUUCACCUAUCGUCUUGGAUUCGAGACAGUGUCGCAGUGCAUUAUGGAGACCUGUUAGGCCAUAGAGAGGAAGAUGCUGGCGAUCCAUCUGCCACGACCCACUGAGGAAACCUGGAGAUAAACUUCUCAAGAGUUUCAUGAAAAAUGGGACUUUCCCAAUUGUUUGGGAUCGGUUGAUGGAAAACAUAUUAUGAUCACCAAACAACCAAACUCAGGGAGACGUUUUUAAAUUGUUUUUAAAUCGUUUUUUAAACUCUGUGGUGUUACUCGCCCUUGUGGAUGCCAAUUACCGCUUCACAGCUAUUCAAGUGGGGGAUUUUGGGAGAAAGAGUGACGGAGAAGUCUAUGCCAACUCCCCACUUGGAAGGGCAAUUGCAUCAAAAACCCUGCAGGUGCCCCAAGAUGCCUUUCUGCUUGGGGGCAAAGAUUUAGGAAAGAUACCAUACAUAAUGGUGGGGGACGCUGCCUUCCCACUAAAGCCCUACCUGAUGAGGCCAUAUGCCGGGCAUAACAUCAGCUACCAGAAAGAAAUCUUCAACUAUCGUCUCUGUCGAGCUUGAAUGACUGGAGAAGGCAUUCGGGAUCCUUGCGGCCAGAUGGAGGAUCCUCUACCAAAAAAUAAACCUACUGCCAAGCAAGGUUGAUACCCUAUGUGGCUACAGAUGUGGCUACAGCAGGGUGGGGCAGGGAUGAGGCAAGGCAUGAGAGGCAUAGCCAUCCAGGCCAGCAGAGCAGGUCAGGAGGCAGUUUCUGUCAGAGAAAAGUUUACUAAGUAUUUCACCUCUGUGGAAGGCAGAAUUGACUUCCAGGACAGAAUGGUUGCAGCUAGGCCUACUUAGAUGCACUGUGUGAGAGUGUGUGUGUGUGUAGUUUAUUAACAUGGGACAGUAAGUUCAACUUUGACAUCUUCAUUUGUUUUGUGUAUUCAUUCUACACUUUAAAACUAUUGUACAAUUCCACCAUUUCUGUAUUUAAAAAAGCAUACAGCACACAUGGCAUUUACAUUCAGCUAACGCUAGCUAGUUCGUUUUAUACCAAGGAUGAACAUUGGGUUGUUAUACUUUACUUGAAUUGUGCAUGGUAUUUGCAAUCUCUCUCCAUAACGCAUCUUUAUUAGUUGGAUCCUUGUAGAAUUUUGAAGACGGGUCAUAUAAAAGUGAGUACUUCUCUACUUCGAUGAAAAAUCUCUCCUCGUCCAUCUUUCAAGCACCCACGUUGGCUUUUGUUUACAGGAAGUAGGGGACGUAUGUUUGUUGUGAGAUCCAAUGAAUUAAUGGGAGGCGGAACAUCCAGACUUGGUAUUGCGGUUAGCAACCAAUUUAAGGUGAAUUCCGCCACCAACUGGACUGGAGUUUGUACCUUGCAGUUCGUCUUUCAGUCACCCACGUGGGUAUAGCCAAUGAGGAGAUGGCACGUGGGUACCUGCUUCUAUAACCAAUGAGGAGAUGGGAGAGGCAGGACUUUCAGCGUGAUCUGCAACAGAAAUAGAAAGGAGUUCUAUUUUAGCCCUUGGCAACUCAGACGCUCAGUGCUCGCGCAGGAGACGUGUCCGGUCUGGUCAGCAUGUUAGGUUGGAGUCAUUAAAACUUCUUUUCAACCACUCCACAAAUUUCUUGUUAACAAACUAUAGUUUUAGCAAGUCAGUUAGGACAUCUACUUUUUA